rnacentral:rRNA from 1 species
GGACGAACGCUGGCGGCGUGCUUAACACAUGCAAGUCGAACGAGAAUCACUGGAAGGAGUUUUCGGACAACGGAAGGUGAGGACAGUGGCGGACGGGUGAGUAACGCGUGAGGAACCUGCCUUUCAGAGGGGGACAACAGUUGGAAACGACUGCUAAUACCGCAUGACACAUAGAGAUCGCAUGGUUUUUAUGUCAAAGAUUUAUCGCUGAAAGAUGGCCUCGCGUCUGAUUAGCUAGUUGGUGAGGUAACGGCCCACCAAGGCGACGAUCAGUAGCCGGACUGAGAGGUUGACCGGCCACAUUGGGACUGAGAUACGGCCCAGACUCCUACGGGAGGCAGCAGUGGGGAAUAUUGGGCAAUGGGCGCAAGCCUGACCCAGCAACGCCGCGUGAAGGAAGAAGGCUUUCGGGUUGUAAACUUCUUUUGUCGGGGACGAGUAGAAGACGGUACCUGGCGAAUAAGCCACGGCUAACUACGUG